GACGAACGCUGGCGGCGUGCUUAACACAUGCAAGUCGAACGGAAAGGCCCUGCUUUUGUGGGGUGCUCGAGUGGCGAACGGGUGAGUAACACGUGAGUAACCUGCCCUUGACUUUGGGAUAACUUCAGGAAACUGGGGCUAAUACCGGAUAGGAGCUCCUGCUGCAUGGUGGGGGUUGGAAAGUUUCGGCGGUUGUGGAUGGACUCGCGGCUUAUCAGCUUGUUGGUGGGGUAGUGGCUUACCAAGGCUUUGACGGGUAGCCGGCCUGGGAGGGUGACCGGCCACAUUGGGACUGCGAUACGGCCCAGACUCCUACGGGAGGCAGCAGUGGGGAAUAUUGCACAAUGGGCGGAAGCCUGAUGCAGCAACGCCGCGUGCGGGAUGACGGCCUUCGGGUUGUAAACCGCUUUCGCCUGUGACGAAGCGUGAGUGACGGUAAUGGGUAAAGAAGCACCGGCUAACUACGUG
rnacentral:rRNA from 1 species